UGGCUUCGUGGCUCGGUUGGUUGGGGCGCUGCGCCGGCGUCGCAGAGGUCAUGGGUUCGAAUCCCGUUGAGUCAC
rnacentral:tRNA from 1 species